CGUGACUGGAGUCCACCUGUGGGAAAUUCAGUUGAUUGGACAUGAUUUGGAAAGGCACACUCCUGUCUAUGUAAGGUCCCACAGUUAACAAUGCAUGUCAGAGCACAAACCAAGCCAUGAAGUCCAAGGAACUGUCUGGAGACCGCCGAGACAGCUCUAGAGAUGACCCGUGUGAUUGCCCCAGGUGAACCCAUAGACGUGCUCUUACCCCUCACUGACCUGGUGGAUGUGAGUUUUACUCCGAGUGAUGCUGUACAACCAUCAAACCUGCAGAUCUGCACCGUGGACGAGGAGAAGAUCCAGUGCAGUCCAGAUUAUAAAGAGAGAGCGUCUCUCCUCAACACUCUUCAGAUUAAAGAUGGAGACGUCUCUGACAUUGGAACUACACAGUACUUCCAGUACUACUUACAGGAUAUCUGGAACAAUGAGAUGGUCCGUGUGAGAGAGGAGACGCUGUGUUUGGACAGUACGUAGGAGAGAUCUAUGCCAGCAUGGGGGACUGCACUGAUGGUGGUGCUGAUGAUCCUGCUCAUCGUAGCAGGGUUAUUGAUGGGUUAUCUGUGGAAAGAAACGCAGUAGCUCCAUGGAGAAUCUGCAAACACCAGCAGCGCUGAAUGACUGAGAACACCAACGAACACCAGCAGCUCACAAUGAAUGGAGUUGUCAGCCAUUCUCCAGGAGAUGUGCAGAUCUCCGUACACCCUGCUUUCACUAACCAGCAACACUGAAAGUGUCUGAAUAUGUCCCCUGUCCUCCUCCCUGGGAUUUCUGCUCCAGGGUUAGUGUGAUAUCUCCAGAGAGAGUGGUUGAAUGUUUGUAGGAUUUAUAUGAAAUGAUUUUCGUAACCAGCAGAUGAACUGAUUCGGUUCAGACUAGAGAGAUCAGAAAACAGCUGCACAGAUCAUUGCACAGUCACAUGUCCAUGUGCUCCUCUGAGGUUCCUCUGUGGUUCCUGGGGAGAGAACACUGCUCUUUUGGUGGAGUUUUGAGAGAGGACCUGUACUAGCGUACUCUGAUGGGUUUUGUGGAGCUCCUACACUAAAUGUUGUGAUGCAGAUGUGCUUCUAGAAUAUCAUGUGUAAUAAAUAUCAGGGGAUAUGGUGUCAGUGGAACAUCAUGUACAGCUGAUUAAACUGGUCCAUACCACUGCAGACUGGUAGAUCGAGUAGAUAUAGGAGUGAUGGAGAGAAGAUGGCCUGAGCCAGUGUUAGUGGGAUAGACUCCGGAUCCACCACAACCCUGACCAGGAAGUUCUCUAGUCCUGAUUAAUAUGGAUUCAUAUGAUUCAGUCUUUUUCUUCUGUAAUUCCACCAUAAAACUCUCCUGUUUACUUUGUGUCCUGAUCUAUAAACACCAUUUUAAUCUGAUUCCCUAAAAUCACCUAGAAAUAAAUCUAGAUUCCAAAUAACAACACUAUUAGAUUCUCAGCUAUUUAAUAAAACACAUUUAUAUCCAGAGUUAUUAAAUCAGUACAAUAUUCCACUUAAACACACUUUGCUGUGCUGAUUAAAGAUGUCAGGAUUAGUUUUAAGAGUGAAGAUCCGCGACGUCAUGACGCAAGGAACGCCCAUCGUACUGCGUAAAGGGGAGUGACGGGACACGGACAUGUUGGAGUCUCGCGAUAACAGGCUAGUGCUGCUGUUGUCCCUCUUCCUCGAUAACGACGUCUAAAUCUGUUUUUUAUUUCAUUUUUAGUGAUUUUAACUCUGCGAUUGGAAAGUUGAUGUAUUUUGUUUUUCUUAACAAAGUAUUUUAUUAUCGACAUCACAGUUAUUGUAUAGUUAUUAGAGAUUAGAGCCGGUGUUUGUGUUCUCUAAGUUUCGAGCUAGCGGAACUAACGGAGCUGCUGUGUGUGACCACUGCUGGAGAUCUGUUAUUAUUAUUAUUAUCAUUAUUAUUAUUUCCGUUGCCCCCACUGUGUCCGGUGAUGGUUCUGUAACGGCCAAACUUCAUCACCCCGUUACCCUCACCUGUAACUCCAGAUGUUCUGGUGUACUCGAAUGGAGCAAGUUUCGAACCAUUGUGGCUCGGUGUGAUCAGACCUCCUGCAGGCCAGAGAAGGGAUUUAACAUCUCUCAUGAUCAGUACCUGAAGGGGAAUCCACAUCUCACCAUCACUGCAGCUGAUUACAGUGCGAGAGGAUUGUACACGUGUCUGUGUAACGGUACAGACAUCUGUAAAGUGCGUCUCCUCAUCGAGCCUCUAGAGAUGACCCGUGUGAUUGCCCCAGGCGAGCCCAUAGACGUGCUCUUACCCCUCACUGACCUGGUGGAUGUGAGUUUUACUUCCAGUGAUGCUGUACAACCAUCAAACCUGCAGAUCUGCAGCGUGGACAAGGAGAAGAUCCAGUGCAGUCCAGAUUAUAAAGAGAGAGCGUCUCUCCUCAACACUCUUCAGAUUAAAGAUGGAGACGUCUCUGACAGUGGGAACUACACAGUACAGGAUAUAGUGAAUGACGAGACUUUAGCCAUCGUAACGGUCCAUAUGAGAG
ensembl:lncRNA